GUCCACGCCGUAAACGAUGGAUGCUAGCCGUCGGCAAGCUUGCUUGUCGGUGGCGCAGCUAACGCAUUAAGCAUCCCGCCUGGGGAGUACGGCCGCAAGGUUAAAACUCAAAGGAAUUGACGGGGGCCCCGCACAAGCGGUGGAGCAUGUGGUUUAAUUCGACGCAACGCGAAGAACCUUACCAAACCUUGACAUGUCCGGUCGGUUUCCAGAAAUGGAUUCCUCCUAGCAAUAGGUCGGAACACAGGUGCUGCAUGGCUGUCGU
rnacentral:rRNA from 1 species